GCCCGAUAAAAACCUAUUUCUCUGACUCUCUGUCUCUCCUUCAAACAUUGCAAGACCCAUACGCAGGAACCCAAAAACAGAAAACCUAGACACAGAGCUUUCUCUCUUCCCUGGCGACGGUAAGCUUCAAUUGAAGAAAGUGAAAUAGAUAGCCAUUCUCUUUGAUUUUCGGGUUGUGGCCUACUUCCUCUCAAAAGAGAUGAAGUGGAAUUUUUCACAAUGUAGAGACCCUAAUUUCAUCACAACAAAGGAAUUUUUGUUCAUACCCCUUUUCCUCUCUAUUUAUUGAUAUGAGGGAAAACCCCUAGAAGAUGAAAUCCUAUCUGAGUAUUAAUGGUUAGUGAUCUUUUAAACUUAAUCAUGUCACUUUAAUUUUCAAGUUUUGUUUUCCCACUUAUCUGUUCUGUUAUUCGUAAGGGGGAGUGAAAUUGGGGAAUUCUGUUGGUUUGAUCUACUUUUGGUUUUUUGGGUUGCUAUGGUUGAAUGGUUGGCCUUUGGUUCAAUGCCCUUAAAAAGGGGUUUUUAGCAAAUUUUUAAUUGUGUAGUUUCGGUAUUUGAUGUCCUCCACCAUAUGAAUUCUCAGUUUAUGCUCUAUUUGUAUUAAUAUGAGACCUUUAUUAUUAUUGUUUUUUUAUUAUUUUUUUUUAUUUAAUUAAAGUUUCUAGGUUAUCUCAAGCUUUGGUUUCAUGUUUAGUCUCUAUUUAUUUUGUAUUUUAGUUUGAUCCAAAUCUUCUUUAAGAGUAGCAUCUAGAUUUUUGAGGGGUUUUGUUUGAUUCUUUGUU